UUUUUUUUGAGAUGGAAUCUUGCUCUGUUACUCAGGCUGGAUUGCAGAGGUGCAAUCUUGGUUCCAACAACCUCUGUCUACUGGGUUCAAGCAAUUCUUUUGCCUCAGACUCUUGAGUAGUGGUAUUACAGGCACUGACCACAAUGCUAAGCUAAUUUUUGUACUUUUAGUGGAGACAGGGUUUUACUAUGUUGGCCAGGCGGGCCUCAAACUCCUGGUCUCAGGUGAUCCACCCACCUUGGCCUCUGAAAGUGCUGGGACUGCAGGCGGGCACCUUGCUUGAGGUCAGGAGUUUGAGAGCAGCCUGAUCAACAUGGGGGAACCAUGUCUGUACUAAAAAAUACAAAACGUAGCUAGGUGUUGUGGCGUACACCUGUAAUCCCAGCUCCCAGGGAGGCUGAGGCAGAAGAAUCAUUUGAAUCCAGGAGGCCUCUGCCUCCCAGGAGGUUGCAAUGAGCCUAGUUUGUGUCACUUGCCCGCCAGCCUGGGCUACAGAGGAAAGCUCUGCCUCAAAAACAAAAACCAAACAAAAACCAAGCAAAAGACUAAAAAGAGAAUUUUCAUAGUAUUCACAAAUUCACUACUGGGUUUACAUCCAAAGGAAAAGACUUCAGUGUAUCGAAGUUCUAUCUGCACUCCCACGACUCUUCCAGCACAGUUCACAGUAGCCAAGAUGUGGAGACCACCUACCUGCCCCUCAGUGGGUGAACGGAUAGAGAGAAUGUAGUACAUACACACAGUGGAGACUACUCAUCCAUAGAGACAAUACCAUCCUGACAUUUGCAGCCACAUGGACGGAAAUGGAGCUCAUUAGAAAGAUUCCCAUUUCUCACCCUUAUGCAGGAGCUCUAAAGUGGAUCUCAAGAAGGUAGAGAGUAGAAUGGUGGCUACCAGAGGCUAGGAAGGGAACGGUGGAAGUCUGUCCUGACCAGUUUCUCCAUCUGCCUGGGUGCCUGGAGCCCUGACCACGGACCACCACGCAGGCCAUGCAGGAGGGUUUGGAGGUGCCCUCUCUGCCAUCCCGCGCCCUGAUCCCGCCCUCACACCGAAGCUUGGUCUUCUCUCUGAACCUGUCCAUGCUUCUCUCCAUCAUCAGCAGCAAGUUCCUCAGCUAUGGCUCUGGGAUCAUAAGACAUGGGACAGGCAUGGGGUUUCCUCACCUGUGACAGAAACGGGCAGUGGGUCACUAGGGUCUGACCACUAGGUGCGCACGGAAAGAACCGGAAGCAUCUGUAGGUUCCUCCGUGGGUGGCAGGGCCCAGAGGGAAGUCGGCCUGGAAUGUUCCAUUGAUGCUUGGCACUGCAGAGAGACUAAGUUCACGAGCCUCCCCCUCCCUGGAUAGAUGGUACAUGUCAAACGAGUUCUGGGAGCUGCAGGACAAGGUCACGUUCUCUCCCUGCCUGAACCGUAGGUCCGGCUGGGCUGAGAGAGAAGGUUUCUCAUAUAGACCUGGAGGGAGAAGAGGCAGUUUCCUCAGGGAGGUUCUUCCCUGUCACAGCUCCCCUCACAUCUGAGCUGAGAACUCACUCCCCUGAUCUAUGACCUAAUGCUCUCUGUCACCCUCCACCCCAUCUCUCUUCAGGUCUAUUUCCUCCUUCCACCUUCUCUGUCUCUCUAGGUCUCUGACCUCACUUCCCCAGCCUGAGGUGUGUUUUCCCUUUUUGUAUUGUUUUCUUCUCUCUGAUCCUCCUUGGAUUGUUGACUUGAUCUUCCUUUUUCUUUAAUUCUGAGUUUCUCACUUUCUGUUUUGUUCAUAACCUUCUGCACAUUUCUAUCUACUAUCGAUCGAUCGAUCAAUCUAUCUACUACCUGUUAAUCUAUCAAUUAUCUAUCUGUAAUCUAUAUCUAUGUAUCAUGUAUCUAUCUCUGUAUCUAUUGUCUGUCUCUCUAUCUAUCCACCAUCUAUCUAUUAUCUAUAUCUAUGUAUCAUCUGUCUGUUCCCUCUCUGUCUGUCUCUCUGUCUCUAUGUAUCAUCUACGUAUCUAUGUAUCUAUCUAUGUGUCUAUCUAUCUCUCUAUCUAUCUAUCUAUCUAUCUAUCUAUUGAUCUAUCUAUCUGUCUAUCUAUCUAUCAUCAUCAUCAUCAUCUCCAUGAAUCAUCUAUCUAUCAAUUGCCAUCUAUGUAUCUAUAACCCAUCCAUUAUCUAUCAUCUACCUAUUUAUCAUCUAUCUAUAUCUAUCUAUCCAUUUACCAUCUGUCUCUCUCCAUCUCCUUGUCUUUCUCUGCCUCUCAGUCUCUCUAGUUCUAUUUGGAAUCUCUGCAAUCCAUCCCCACAUCUUUAUCUGUCUCUGUUUGUGCCCCCGCCCUCAGGGUUCUGAUUUUGGAGCUUUUCUCUCCUCCCUUCCAUCAUUCUCUCCACUCCUCUGCCCUCUUUUCUGUUUCUUUAUGUGUCUGUGAGUCUCUCAAUCUCCUUCCUCUGGCUCCUUCUCUGUGUGUCUUUGCUUUUUGUCUUCUCUUUAUGUCUUUGCUUUUUGA
ensembl:lncRNA